AGUGGAUGGGGAGCAACCUAGUUGUGCGUGUGUAAAGGUAGUGCCAAGAAAAGCGGUGAUCAUGAUGAAAAUCAAUUCCCGGUACCCGAAACCGACACAGGUGGGCAAGUAGAGAAUACUAAGGGGCGCGAGGUAACUCUCUCCAAGGAACUCGGCAAAAUGACCCCGUAACUUAGGGAGAAGGGGUGCCACCGAGAGGUGGUCGCAGUGAAGAGGCCCAGGCGACUGUUUAGCAAAAACAUAGGUCUCUGCAAACUCGAAAGAGGAGGUAUAGGGGCUGACGCCUGCCCAGUGCCGGAAGGUUAAAGAAGUUGGUCAGACUUAGGAUAAAGCUAGCGACUGAAGCCCCGGUGAACGGCGGCCGUAACUAUAACGGUCCUAAGGUAGCGAAAUUCCUUGUCGGGUAAGUUCCGACCCGCACGAAAGGCGUAACGAUCUGGGCGCUGUCUCGGAGAGAGGCUCGGCGAAAUAGGAUUGUCUGUGAAGAUACGGACUACCUGCAUUUGGACAGAAAGACCCUAUGAAGCUUUACUAUAGCUUGGAAUUGUGUUCGGGCUUCCUGUGCGCAGGAUAGGUGGGAGGCGAAGAAGGUAUUCUUGUGGGGAUACUGGAGCCAACGGUGAGAUACCACUCUCAGGAGGCUAGAAUUCUAACUUAAUUAAGGACAGUUUCAGGUGGGUAGUUUGACUGGGGCGGUCGCCUCCAAAAAGGUAACGGAGGCGUACAAAGGUUCCCUCAGACUGGUUGGAAAUCAGUCGCAGAGUGCAAAGGCAGAAGGGAGCUUGACUGCGAGAAGUACAGUUCGAGCAGGGUGGAAACACGGUCUUAGUGAUCCGACGGUGCUGUGUGGAAGGGCCGUCGCUCAACGGAUAAAAGUUACUCUAGGAUAACAGGCUGAUCUCCCCCAAGAGUUCGCAUCGACGGGGAGGUUUGGCACCUCGAUGUCGGCUCAUCGCAACCUGGGGCGGAAGUACGUCCCAAGGGUUGGGCUGUUCGCCCAUUAAAGCGGUACGUGAGCUGGGUUCAGAACGUCGUGAGACAGUUCGGUCCAUAUCCGAUGUAGGCGUGAGAAUAUUGAGAGGAGCCUUCCUUAGUACGAGAGGACCGGGAAGGACGCACCGCUGGUGUACCUGUUAUGAUGCCAAUUGUAAACGCAGGGUAGCCAAGUGCGGAGAGGAUAACCGCUGAAAGCAUCUAAGUGGGAAGCCCACCUCAAGAUGAGUAUUCUGGUGUAAGGUCACGGGAAGACGACCCGUAAAUAGGCACGAGGUGGAAGUGCAGAGAUGUAUGAAGCCGAAGUGUACUAAUAGACCGUCGGCUUGACC
rnacentral:rRNA from 1 species